CGGCGGACGGGUGAGUAAUGUCUGGGAAACUGCCCGAUGGAGGGGGAUAACUACUGGAAACGGUAGCUAAUACCGCAUAACGUCGCAAGACCAAAGAGGGGGACCUUAGGGCCUCUUGCCAUCGGAUGUGCCCAGAUGGGAUUAGCUAGUAGGUGGGGUAACGGCUCACCUAGGCGACGAUCCCUAGCUGGUCUGAGAGGAUGAUCAGCCACACUGGGACUGAGACACGGCCCAG
rnacentral:rRNA from 1 species